GAGAGUAAACGCUCUUACGUGUAAGAGCCUGAAAGUAUCGUACGAAUAAGGAUCGGCUAACUCCGUGCCAGCAGCCGCGGUAAUACGGAGGAUUCAAGCGUUAUCCGGAUUUAUUGGGUUUAAAGGGUGCGUAGGCGGUUUGAUAAGUUAGAGGUGAAAUCCCGGGGCUUAACUCCGGAACUGCCUCUAAUACUGUUAGACUAGAGAGUAGUUGCGGUAGGCGGAAUGUAUGGUGUAGCGGUGAAAUGCUUAGAGAUCAUACAGAACACCGAUUGCGAAGGCAGCUUACCAAACUAUAUCUGACGUUGAGGCACGAAAGCGUGGGGAGCAAACAGGAUUAGAUACCCUGGUAGUCCACGCAGUAAACGAUGAUAACUCGUUGUCGGCGAUACACAGUCGGUGACUAAGCGAAAGCGAUAAGUUAUCCACCUGGGGAGUACGUUCGCAAGAAUGAAACUCAAAGGAAUUGACGGGGGCCCGCACAAGCGGAGGAACAUGUGGUUUAAUUCGAUGAUACGCGAGGAACCUUACCCGGGCUUAAAUUGCAUUUGAAUAAUCUGGAAACAGGUUAGCCGCAAGGCAAAUGUGAAGGUGCUGCAUGGUUGUCGUCAGCUCGUGCCGUGAGGUGUCGGCUUAAGUGCCAUAACGAGCGCAACCCUUAUCUUUAGUUACUAACAGGUCAUGCUGAGGACUCUAGAGAGACUGCCGUCGUAAGAUGUGAGGAAGGUGGGGAUGACGUCAAAUCAGCACGGCCCUUACGUCCGGGGCUACACACGUGUUACAAUGGGGGGUACAGAAGGCAGCUACCUGGCGACAGGAUGCUAAUCCCAAAAACCUCUCUCAGUUCGGAUCGAAGUCUGCAACCCGACUUCGUGAAGCUGGAUUCGCUAGUAAUCGCGCAUCAGCCAUGGCGCGGUGAAUACGUUCCCGGGCCUUGUACACACCGCCCGUCAAGCCAUGAAAGCCGGGGGUACCUGAAGUACGUAACCGCAAGGAGCGUCCUAGGGUAAAACUGGUAAUUGGGGCUAAGUCGUAACAAGGUAGCCGUACCGGAAGGUGCGGCUG
rnacentral:rRNA from 1 species